rnacentral:rRNA from 1 species
UACGGGGGGGGCAAGCGUUGUUCGGAAUUACUGGGCGUAAAGGGCUCGUAGGCGGCCAACUAAGUCAGACGUGAAAUCCCCCGGCUUAACCAGGGAACUGCGUCUGAUACUGGAUGGCUUGAGUUUGGGAGAGGGAUGCGGAAUUCCAGGUGUAGCGGUGAAAUGCGCAGAUAUCAGGAGGAACACCGGUGGCGAAGGCGGUGGUCUGGGCCGGCACUGACGCUGAGGAGCGAAAGCGUGGGGAGCAAACAGG